rnacentral:rRNA from 1 species
UUAGAGUUUGAUCAUGGCUCAGGACGAACGCUGGCGGCGUGCCUAAUACAUGCAAGUCGAACGCGUCCCGGUUGAUGAAGUUGAGUGCUUGCACUUAAUUGAUUCAACUUGGUGACGAGUGGCGAACUGGUGAGUAACACGUGGGUAACCUGCCCCGAAGCGGGGGAUAACAUUUGGAAACAGGUGCUAAUACCGCAUAACAACCAAAACCACCUGGUUUUGGUUUGAAAGACGGCUUCGGCUGUCACUUUGGGAUGGACCCGCGGCGUAUUAGCUAGUUGGUGAGGUAACGGCUCACCAAGGCGAUGAUACGUAGCCGACCUGAGAGGGUAAUCGGCCACAUUGGGACUGAGACACGGCCCAAACUCCUACGGGAGGCAGCAGUAGGGAAUCUUCCACAAUGGACGCAAGUCUGAUGGAGCAACGCCGCGUGAGUGAUGAAGGGUUUCGGCUCGUAAACUCUGUUGUUGGAGAAGAACGGGUGUCAGAGUAACUGUUGACAUCGUGACGGUAUCCAACCAGAAAGCCACGGCUAACUACGUGCCAGCAGCCGCGGUAAUACGUAGGUGGCAAGCGUUGUCCGGAUUUAUUGGGCGUAAAGCGAGCGCAGGCGGUUUUUUAGGUCUGAUGUGAAAGCCUUCGGCUUAACCGGAGAAGUGCAUCGGAAACCGGGAGACUUGAGUGCGGAAGAGGACAGUGGAACUCCAUGUGUAGCGGUGAAAUGCGUAGAUAUAUGGAAGAACACCAGUGGCGAAGGCGGCUGUCUGGUCUGCAACUGACGCUGAAGCUCGAAAGCAUGGGUAGCGAACAGGAUUAGAUACCCUGGUAGUCCAUGCCGUAAA